CCUGAAGUGUACACUCUCGUUCGCUUCUUCCUACAAAUCUAAAAUCAUUGCAUUGGUGGAGGCAUGGGCUAGAGAGGAAUAUGCUACCAAAUAGCACCUUAUUCCCUAAUGUAGGCCUACUUUUAAGGAAUGCACUAUAAGGAAUAGAUCAAUCAACUGGCUCACUAAAUGGGGUACCGAAAUAUAUCCAAAAGAGGUCGACACGAAAUUAGACUAGGUUUAUUUCUGUUUUGACCUGCUGAGUCGCAGUGCUUAGUGAACAGAUUUCAAUGUGGGCCUAGCUGUAUCGAAAACGGUUGAUGGGGAAAGUGUGUAAUCUGAUCAAUAUAUUUCCCCCCCAAUAUUAAUGAGAGAAUGGGAAUGUGCAUAAAGGUCUAACAUUCCAUGACGUGGUAUGAAGUUCUUAAUUCGUCAGUGGCUGCAAUAUUGUCCUCAGUAAACUCAACAUGAGUGAAAACAACACAGACAAGGACAAGUUUUUCGAGAUAUAAAAAAUACUGUAUGCUAUUAUGGAUGAAGAAAAGGUAGGUUAAAUGACACGAAAUAUUUGGGAAUGUAACUAAGGAAAACGUCAUUUAAGAUAACAUAGGCUAUUGCAAAACAAAUGUCUAAUUCUCUCUAUUAAGUCAAUCACCAGUUUAGCUCUGAUAUGGCUGUAGCUCUAUGAUGUCCUUUGCAAGAAUCUAAUCUGACAUUGACAUGAAAUUCCUAUGUCCUUCAGGUAGUACAGAGAGAUGAUGAUGAUCCCCAGAGGGAGUUGAGGGGGGUUGUUGAGGAAGAACCAGUGGCCCAGCUCAAGAAGGAGCCCAAGAAGACAGGAAAGGUGAAGAGGAAAAGUAGUGCCAAGAAGUCAGGGGAGCAGGGCACUGAUACGGAUGCAGGAUUGAGGAAUAAACACCCGGACAGAGGAUCUGUUAUUGAGCUCUUGGAGAAGAAUGCUCUUAAGGCUGCAUUCGGCCCAGGCAACAAAGAUGAGAUGGAGGACUGCUACCCAAUCCUCAUCUCAUUCAUGCGCAAUCUUACUGAUGAGCAAUGGCAAGUGAUCUAUAAAGGAUUUAAAAAACCUAUGACAAAGGAACAGCUUGCAAAAUUGUGCAAGACCAUUGUCAACUUCAUUGCACAGACCACCCUGCAGAUCCUGCUGCCGGCCCUGGCCCGCAUUCUAGGGGUGACGGGCUUUUAUGACAACGCUGACUCACUCAAGAGGGGUGGCAGUGCAAGAUCCUUCACUGCCUUUGAGCAGAAAAGACUGGAGCUCAUCCAGGAAGUUAAAUAUUUGGCGAAGUAACUGUGGCGGCAGGGCUCUCCGACCAAGGUCUAGCACACCCUCUUCCAAGAGUUCCCAGACCUCACUGAAAGUCCACCUGGGAAUGCCAGAGGACAGUAUCAUCAGCAGUGUCCAGGAGCAACUGUCAAAAUCUGACCAAAUGGUGGCUGCAGGACAGCUUUCACAAAUAGAUAAAGUGGUUGGAACUAUGCUGGAGAACAUUGAGAAGAUAAGCAGCGAAUGUGGCGAGGAAUUGGUCUAUCAAGAGUCACUGCGGUCUUCCUCCUCGUUGUCAUUCUCAACUGCCAAAUCACAGAAGACAGAGUGGGAAUUUGCACUCCCUGGCACUCCCAUUCCUUCUGAGUUACCCGAGAGUACUGCUCAGCCCAUUGUAAGAUGUUCAGUCAUUGACAUGAGCGAAUCUACUAAGCCAAAAACAAUGGUGUGUGAUGCCAGAACAAGCAUGUUUGCCA